rnacentral:sRNA from 1 species
AGACCGGGAAAGCCGUUUCACACCCGUCCUAGUCGAAGUCGAGAUUUCCUUUGGCUUCAAAGCUCUCUCACCAUAUUUUGGGAAGUUAUGGAUCAUCACAUUCCCAUGCAUGCUUUGCCUGAAGAAAUCCAAAAGAAUUUAUGAUGUAGGCAUGCAGUUAAAAAGUCAACAAAAUGAAUUUCAGAAAGUAAAGAAACAAUUGAGUCAUUUGCAAGAUGAGCUAAAAAUUAAAUAUAGACAAUCAUACAUCUUCAGGUAAGAUUAAAGAACUGAAAAUUAUAAAGAUUGAAAAGAUAUGCUUAAUACUAACUUUGUAAAUAGCCAAACACAUUUUAGUAAUAUGGUUUCUAUAUCUGGUGUGAUUGAGAAAAGUGAAACAGCAUUAGGUUUUCUUUUUUCUUUUUUAAACCAUUAUCUCAAUGAAUAGUGUUGCUAAUUAAAUUUAAAUUAGGCAUAUACCUUAUUCUAUUAGUGCCUUGUUACUGUUCUUAUUUUGUGGUGGCAUUUAGAAUGAAAGCACGGUAACUAAUUUCCCUCUUCACCAAUAUUUCCUUGUGUAUUUGAUCCUCUGAGUGAUAGUCCAGUGACAAGAAAAGUAAU